UAAGAGAGGGGCUUACUCUUUUGAUGGC
rnacentral:piRNA from 1 species